GACGAACGCUGGCGGCGCGCUUAACACAUGCAAGUCGAACGGAAAGGCCUGCUUUCCCUUGUGUAUUGCGGGUACUCGAGUGUCGAACGGGUGAGUAACACGUGAGUGAUCUUCCCCCAACUUGUGUAUAAGCCUGGGAAACUGGGUCUAAUUCCCGAUAGGACUGCAGGGUGGUGCCUGUGGUGGAAAACGAUUUUCUAGUGGUUGGGGAUGAGCUCGCGGCCUAUCAGCUUGUGGGUGGGGUAAUGGCCUACCAAUGCGGCGACGGGUAGCCGGCCUGGGGGGGUGGGCGGGAGAGUUGGGACUGAGAUACGGGCCCGACGCCUACGCGCGGCAGCCGUCGGGAGUAAGGAGCAGUGAAUGGAGCACUAAUGCCGCAACGCCGCGUGGGGGAUGACGGGUGUCGGGUUGUAACCUCCUUUCGGUAGCGAGGAAGCCACCUGGUUGGAGGGGUGGUGACGGUAGUGGGAGAAGAAGCACCGGCUAACUACGUG
rnacentral:rRNA from 1 species